rnacentral:rRNA from 1 species
GACGAACGCUGGCGGCGUGCUUAACACAUGCAAGUCGAACGGAAAGGCUCCAGCUUGCUGGAGUACUCGAGUGGCGAACGGGUGAGUAACACGUGGGUAAUCUGCCCUGCACUCUGGGAUAAGCCUGGGAAACUGGGUCUAAUACUGGAUAUGACCUUUCUCCUUAUGGGGUUUGGUGGAAAGUUUUUCGGUGUAGGAUGAGCCCGCGGCCUAUCAGCUUGUUGGUGGGGUGAUGGCCUACCAAGGCGACGACGGGUAGCCGGCCUGAGAGGGUGAUCGGCCACAUUGGGACUGAGAUACGGCCCAGACUCAUACGGGAGGCAGCAGUGGGGAAUAUUGCACAAUGGGCGGAAGCCUGAUGCAGCGACGCCGCGUGAGGGAUGACGGCCUUCGGGUUGUAAACCUCUUUCAGCAGGGACGAAGCGUAAGUGACGGUACCUGCAGAAGAAGCACCGGCUAACUACGUG